ACGUUAAUGGUUCAAGUGGUAAAAUGCUCGUCUGCUACACGAAGCGUCCCGGGUUCGAUUCCCGGCCGAUGCA
rnacentral:tRNA from 1 species